CGGUAACUCCGCAGAUUCUGCAGGAAUUUUGCCACCAUAAUUCUAUGCUCUGCAGACUCAUCAGAGAGCAGCGAGACAAUUCGCUGCAUGCCUUCAAGCUUAGUUUCUGACAAUACUGGCUUGAUGCUCCUUUCACUCACUAUACUGAGCUCGCCGUUUUCUUUGGUAGGAGCAGUGAGCAAUACCAACGCUUCGGCUGCCAACACUCUCAUGGAGCUUUCUUGGACGUCAUCAAUUUCUUCAGCUAGGAGACCGAUGAGUUUCCGGAUGAUUAGGAUGAUCUAUGAAGAACUUGCCAAUAUUCCUUAUGGUGUACAUAUUACUGGACACUUGGCACCUGAGCUCCUCGCCGGUCUCACCAGCUGUGCUCACAAGCUUGCGCAAGACUUCUAGUUCUUGGCAUUCUUCACCUCCGCACAGUUUUCUGGAUUAGUCAGGAGGUUGUCGAGAAUAUCCACACCAAGCAAUUUGAGCUCUUUGCUUGCACAGGUUGAAUUGCUGGAACUUCCACUGGUCUUGGUCCUGCGUGCGCUAAGCAGUGAAGAAAUAGAUUGAAAAAUACCAGGAAAGUUCUCGACUUGAAGGCCAGGUGCGAGCUCCAGCAGUAUGCGCGCAGCAUGCCCUCUGGUGUCUUGUUCCACCUCUCUGUCCAAGCCCAUCAUGUAUACUGCUUUCUCGACGGUAUCAAGAGAAGAUCGAAUCUUGGUGAGCACCUUUUCUUU